rnacentral:lncRNA from 1 species
CAGCUCAGCGCGGCCACCGACGCCCUGGCAGCUCGCGGUGCGCAGGGAGGCGGCUGCGGGAGCCCGUGGCCUCGGUGCCCCGACAGGGGCCGCUUCUCCCCCUUCUCCCCGUUGCCUCUACUCGGCGCGGCUCUCGGGCUACGGUCACCUUCGGAUCAGCACUGGGCAGGCCUGCGCACUUUGUUGAAGACCACGGCCACACCUGAUGCGGGGCUUGCUCGGCCCUCGGCCCGCUGGGCCGCCACUCCUCUGCCGGCUACAGACCCCGCAGCUCGGGCGCAGACGUCGGGCUCCGGCCGCUAGCGUGGAAGGCAUUCUGUCCAAUUCACUCCAACUUCCGGACCUGCGAGACUUUGGUCUCUACUUCCUGGAAGCAGGCCAAGCAAAUUCUUCGAAUAUGGAACGUGGGGUAGGGCUUCCGAGGGGCGCGGGGCCCGGCUCCCCCUGGGGCCUUGCUCCCCCCGGGGUAGGGCUUCCGAGGGGCGCGGGCCCGGCUCCCCUCCGUGCAGCUCCUCCCCGCCCCAGCCAGCGGUGGGGGUGUUGGGAUAACUGGCGAUGCAGCCCCCAGCCCCCGGCACACACACCGUGGCUGCCGCCGGACUGUCCUCCAGGCCAGCUCCCCCGCCAAGUGUCUCCAGAACAGCCGAGGCCCACCCUGCGUCCUCGGCCCCUCAGCCCGUGCUCCCGGCCCGGUCCCCUUGCUCCCUCCCGCCUCAGCAUCUGCACCUGUGUCAGGGCCUGGUCCGUGCGCCCUGUCUGCAGCUCCAGGGAGACGGCCCAGGGGUGGGUCCCCCCCGAGGUGACAAGGGCCAAGGGCAGCAGCCUCCAUGAUUCACUUCCUCCUUGCUGUGUGCUGGGUGAGUCACGCCGACGCCAACCACAGGCGGGAGGCUCCUCACGCGCAGGCCGCGGGCUCUGCUGGAGGCCCGGCAUUCUUCGUAUUCCCUUGGGAUCUGCAUGUGUCUUCUGGUGACUCCGGAGCCCAUCUGUGUCCCCUCCUU